rnacentral:lncRNA from 1 species
GUCUGUGUUUUUAUACGAUCGGUUACAUGUACCAGUCAAAAUCGAAAGUCAAAUCUCUGUUGCGACAAUACAUCGGAAUGCCCUCACGGUCAUCGUGAUGUAAACAUGAAGUGUGGGCAGGAGGACGUGUACUUCCUUGUUCCAGGACAAACAUAUUUUUCGACUUUAAUGAAAAAACUCAUUUUUAAAAAAGAUAUGGUUAUUUUCUUUAAUUUCAUUAUUGUUUUAUUGUUUCUCUCAUUUUCAAUGGAAACAAUUAUUUUGAUUCCCUUCUGAAAAAGAUAAAAUAUCUUUCAAGAAACUUG